UUCAGGAUGGCCGAGUGGUAAUGGCAUCGGACUUCUACUGUUAUGUCCGCAGGUUCAAUUCCUGCUCCUGAAU